rnacentral:misc_RNA from 1 species
UACAGAGGGUGCAAGCGUUAAUCGGAAUUACUGGGCGUAAAGCGCACGUAGGCGGACAUUUAAGUCAGAUGUGAAAUCCUUGGGCUCAACCUGAGAAUUGCACCUGAGACUGGAUGUCUAGAGUAUGGUAGAGGAAAGUGGAACUCCCGGUGUAGCGGUGAAAUGCGUAGAUAUCGGGAAGAACACCAGUGGCGAAGGCGGCUUACUGGACCAAAACUGACGCUGAGGUACGAAAGCGUGGGUAGCAAACAGG